rnacentral:lncRNA from 1 species
CCGCGGCCACACCCCGGGGUGGCCCCGCCCCCAGCUCCUCGCCCCGGGGGGGGCGGUGCCGGGAUCCGCGGCCGUGCCCCCCGGGUGGGGCCGGCCCGGGCCGAGCCCGCCCCGCGCCGCCUUUGGGCCUCGCGGGGACCCGUAGCGGGCUCUCGCGGGCCGCGGCCUUGCCUCGCCGUGGAGCCUGGCGCCUGAGGAGCGCCAGACUUCCCAGAGGAGCCCUU